GACGAACGCUGGCGGCGUGCUUAACACAUGCAAGUCGAACGAAGAGCGAUGGAAGCUUGCUUCUAUCAAUCUUAGUGGCGAACGGGUGAGUAACGCGUAAUCAACCUGCCCUUCAGAGGGGGACAACAGUUGGAAACGACUGCUAAUACCGCAUACGAUCUAAUCUCGGCAUCGAGGAUAGAUGAAAGGUGGCCUCUACAUGUAAGCUAUCACUGAAGGAGGGGAGUGCGUCUGAUUAGCUAGUUGGAGGGGUAACGGCCCACCAAGGCGAUGAUCAGUAGCCGGUCUGAGAGGAUGGACGGCCACAUUGGGACUGAGACACGGCCCAGACUCCUACGGGAGGCAGCAGUGGGGAAUCUUCCGCAAUGGACGAAAGUCUGACGGAGCAACGCCGCGUGAGGUAUGACGGCCUUCGGGUUGUAAAGCUCUGUUAAUCGGGACGAAAGGCCUUCUUGCGAAUAGUGAGAAGGAUUGACGGUACCGGAAUAGAAAGCCACGGCUAACUACGUG
rnacentral:rRNA from 1 species